rnacentral:rRNA from 1 species
UACGUAGGUGGCAAGCGUUGUCCGGAUUUAUUGGGCGUAAAGCGAGCGCAGGCGGUUCCUUAAGUCUGAUGUGAAAGCCCCCGGCUCAACCGGGGAAGGUCAUUGGAAACUGGGGAACUUGAGUGCAGAAGAGGAGAGUGGAAUUCCAUGUGUAGCGGUGAAAUGCGUAGAUAUAUGGAGGAACACCAGUGGCGAAGGCGACUCUCUGGUCUGUAACUGACGCUGAUGUGCGAAAGCGUGGGGAUCAAACAGG